rnacentral:lncRNA from 1 species
GGGGCUAUUAUGAAUAAUGUUCCAUGGACAUGCGUGUAUGAGUUUUUCUGUAAACACAUACUUUCAACUCUUCUGUGUGGAGACCUAGUUGAGGAGUUGAUGGGUCUGUUGGGAAUUCUGUCUAAGUUUUUGAGGAAUAGCCAGAUUGUUUCCACAGAUGCUGCCCUAUUUAACAUCUCAACAGUAAUGUAUGGGGGUUACCAAUGGCUGUUUUCCUGGUUUUUGUUUUUCUAUUUUAAAAUUUUUUUUUUUUUUUUUAAGCAUGUCUGAAAACCCAUCAUCACGCGGUUAGUAAUACAAGACACAUCCCUUGUUUAAAAAAAAAUACCAUCUUGCAAUUCAGCACACAUCUGCAGCUGGUGUGCUCAUCCAAACCAAUCAGUAGGCUAAGAGAAUUUAAAAUUCCAAGCAUAUGGUUCUAGAUAUUAAUGCCGAUUACACAGUACAGAGGGAGGUCCCUAUAUUCACACACACACACACACACACACCAUCCAGCAUUUACACCGAAAGCCUUACCCUUUAAACACCUUUAACUAUCCUGCAAACAGUAAAUGCAUCAUUGGCCACCACCUCCAAUAGUUUGUCUUUUUUUCUUCUUCUUCUUAUUUUUUAUUGGUCUCUUUGUGUGAUAAUGACCUACACAUGGACAGGGUCCAAACCAUCUGGAAGAUGUCUGAUUCCAGGCUGAAAAUCAGUUCUCAACAAAACUGGUCUUCUGUAGCCACCACAAAGCACCAGGAAAAGGGCAUCUCCGCUGCCAUCCCCAGCCAAGCCAGCACAGCACUCCGUGCCCGCUGCACGGUCCCAGGCAGUCCUCCGAUGACCCAAACCACCCCUUCCUUUGGGCCCAGAGAGCAGGACAAAUGAAAUUUCAACAGGGGCCUGCCCUGUGACCGAAAAUUACCCAGCUUCACAGCCCCCGAAUGCAAGGAGAGGUGGUACCCCCAGAGCCAACAUGCCCCCUGUAGGUGGGUACGCCCAGGGUUCUGGGAAAUGCAUACCUCAGGUAACUCAGGUGCGAUCCCCCCAGUGGGGGCGGGGAAGCCUGAAC